UACAGAGGUGGCAAGCGUUGUUCGGAAUUACUGGGCGUAAAGGGCGCGUAGGCGGCCUUCUAAGUCAGACGUGAAAUCCCUCGGCUCAACCGGGGAACUGCGUCUGAGACUGGAAGGCUUGAAUCCGGGAGAGGGAUGUGGAAUUCCAGGUGUAGCGGUGAAAUGCGUAGAUAUCUGGAGGAACACCGGUGGCGAAGGCGGCAUCCUGGACCGGUAUUGACGCUGAGGCGCGAAAGCCAGGGGAGCAAAGCGGG
rnacentral:rRNA from 1 species